CAGCCGCCGCGGUAAUACAGAGGGUGCGAGCGUUAAUCGGAUUUACUGGGCGUAAAGCGUGCGUAGGCGGCUUUUUAAGUCGGAUGUGAAAUCCCUGAGCUUAACUUAGGAAUUGCAUUCGAUACUGGGAAGCUAGAGUAUGGGAGAGGAUGGUAGAAUUCCAGGUGUAGCGGUGAAAUGCGUAGAGAUCUGGAGGAAUACCGAUGGCGAAGGCAGCCAUCUGGCCUAAUACUGACGCUGAGGUACGAAAGCAUGGGGAGCAAACAGGAUUAGAUACCCGUGUAGUCCCUGUCUCUUAUAC
rnacentral:rRNA from 1 species